CGAUGGUGUAUGUGAGCACGUGAAAGUUAAGGCAGUGACGCCUGGAGUUUUAGUGGUGUGUGGCUAGGCUUUUGGAGUUGAUUUUUCUGCGUUUUGAAGAUCGAGGGCCACUGGAUCGAGUGGUAGUCUUAUUUUUUUUUAAAUGAGGACUAGCUUUGUACAAAUGUGAAGGAGGAGUCCACGAUCUCCGAGGCUUGUUGCGGUGCAUGGGGGCGCGUGAAUGGUUGUUUUAGGCUAAUCUUUCUGGCUUUUGCAAAUUGAAGUACAUAUAAGAUCCUAGUGGGGUCAAUUUUGUGAAAUGAUAUCUGGAUUUUCGCAAAUCUGAAAGAGAAGGCCAUGGGUGACAAUUUGGGCAACGACUUUGACAAGGCGGCGCCUGUAUUUAGACUUGAGGAUUAGGAGAGUUGUGCUAGCACCCAUUUUGAGAGGAAAUAUAGUCCAAACAUCAAAGGCACAGAGUGACGUAGCUAGACUAUAGAGAUGUAAGAAUUCCACCGAAAGAGACAUGGUUCAGAUUUAAAAGAUAGAAGGUGCCCAGACUUUAAAGAUGCCAACAAGACUUUGAAGAUGCGAGGAGCUCUUAUUAAGACUUCGAAGGUGCAGGGUGCAAGGUGCAAGGAGUUUGCUAGGUUUUUAUGUAGUCAUGCAUUAAAGGUUCUAGAUAUUCAAAAGAUAAAACUACUUCCUUCUCGAUACAUUUUGAAGCCGUGGACUAAGCAAGCAAGAGUUGGAUGUGUACUAGAUAGCUAUGGUUGCAUUGUGAAAGAAGAUCCUAAGUUGGAUAUAACAAAUUGAUACAAACAUUUGUGUUGUAAUGCGGUUAACAUUGCACAUAAGGCUGCAGAAACUAAAAAAGCAUCUAUGUUUUUAGCUAAGAAAAUGGUUGAAUUAAAUCUUAAUGUGGAAAGGAUUUUGAAAAAAAAAAAAAAAAUCAGAUUUACCUUCCAAUAACAUUGGGAUGGAUCCUUCUCAUAAUGAAAAUGUAGAUGUUAAAGCAAUUGGGAUUAAGAAAAAAAUAGGCACAUCCCAUGUUAAAGGUCGGCCUAAAAGUUUUAUUGAAAAAGGAUCAAGGAAAAGGAGGCAUCCUAGUGGAGAAACUCCUAUGAGAAGUGCUACUGUCAACAUCUUAGCUUCUUUAUUUAUUGACCAUACACAAGUAACACAGGCAUCAAGAAUUGCGUCUAAUUAUUCUACAAGAGAUGGCAAUGAUGCUAGUCAUUAGAUUCCAUGAGUAUGAACUUAGUGUGGUGGUAGUAUCUACAGCAUACCAUUAACAAGCAUGGUCAAGGAGUUUAGCGUGCAAGAAGUUUAGUGUGGUUUUGGAUGAAGAUGCGAACAUCUCUUUAAUGAUUGCUACAAGUGACAUUAAUUUGUUUACUGAUUGCUACAAGUGACAUUAGUUUGUUUUGUUGUCGCUUAUCAUUUUAUUUACUUAUGCAUGUUUUGGGGU